UACAGAGGUCUCGAGCGUUGUUCGGAUUCAUUGGGCGUAAAGGGUGCGUAGGCGGCGAGGUAAGUCGGAUGUGAAAUCCCCCGGCUCAACCGGGGAACCGCGGGGCAUACUGGCGGGCUUGGGCCACUCAGGGGCAGACGGAACAGGCGGUGGAGCGGUGAAAUGCGUAGAUAUCGCCUGGAACGCCGAAGGUGAAAACAGUCUGCUGGGGGUGUGCCGACGCUGAGACACGAAAGCCAGGGGAGCGAACGGG
rnacentral:rRNA from 1 species